AACAGUGCUUCUCCUUGCCCCAGGGCACGUGGCCUGACAGCCUUCCAGUCUAGCCCGUGGCUCCCAUGUCACGUGCCUCUCCCCUCCGUGCCAUCUGUUUCCUUACUACCCGAACAGAUCCUACAGAUCAUUAAAAUUGGGAGGAACAGAACAUGCAGGGGCAUCUUCGGGGAGUGACCGAAAAUAAGCAUUAUUCGUCAACAGGACAACUAGGCCGUGAUGAAGAUGAUGGAGAGAAACCGAUGUGUUAAUGGACACACAGUGCAAAAUCAAAGUCUUUUUUUUAAAAAAUGAAGUAAAAGAGCUAAAAGUAAAACAAGUCACCAUUCCUUUACUGGAAUUUCUCUCCAUUCUCUUUGAAGUGAGAUUAGCAUUAGUGAUGUAUGAAUAAUGGACUAAUGGUCGACCCCAAAAUGUGGCAGCCCCAGGAAGAGAAAUUAAAAUCUUCCCCUGGCUAUUUGGUAAUUUUUCCAUUACUGGAUAUAUAAGCUGUUAAGUCACAUGGAUUAUUUUCUAGAAACAAGUUAUUGAUGAUCAUUUAAAAAUACGAGUGUAUAUGGAUUGUGCUUUAACAUCUUACUUCUGGAAACGCAAAUGCAAAAUGAGGUGGCUGUGAAAUGGCCCGAAGGAUGCAGUUCUGAGUGCUGUGUGAGCAAGAUUCUCCGAGGAAAAGACACAUGGAGAAACAGACUCCAAACUCUAGCACCUGCCCUGGAAAGAACAGCCAUCUCUCACCUCUCGGAUAUUCUGCAGCCCUAACUGAACCCUGGUGGACAAUACAACAAAUCGACUAUGUUUCCAUGAACCCAUUUUGGUUAACUGCCAAUAAAUAAAUAAAUAAAUAAAUAAAUAAAUAAAUA
rnacentral:lncRNA from 1 species